CAUCAAAUGACUGAAAGCAAGUAAUGGUCUCUUAAACCAAAUAAUAAUAAUUAGCAACUAUUUUUGAUGA
rnacentral:tRNA from 1 species